GACGAACGCUGGCGGCGUGCCUAACACAUGCAAGUCGAACGGAAAGGCCCUGCUUUUGUUGGUUGCUCGAUUGGCGAACGGGUGAGUAACACGUGAGUAACCUGCCCUUAACUUUGUGAUAUCUUCUCGAAACUGGGGCUCAUACCCGAUAUGAUCUCCUGCUGCAUGGUGGUGGUUGGAAAGUUUCGGCGGUUGGGGAUGGACUCGCUGCUUAUCAGCUUGUUGGUGUGGUAGUGGCUUACCAAGGUUUCGACGGGUAGCCGGCCUGAGAGGGUUACCGGCCACAAUGGGACUAAGAUACGGACCAGACGGCUACGGGAAGCAGAAGGGGGAAAUAUUGCAGAAUGGGGGGAAGCCAGAUGCAGAAGCGCCGGGUGCGGGAUGACGGCCUUAGGGUUAAAAACCGCUUUCGCCUGUGACGAAGAGUGAGUGACGGUAAUGGGUAAAGAAGCAACGGCUAACUACGUG
rnacentral:rRNA from 1 species